CCAAUAGCGUAUAUUAAAGUUGUUGCAGUUAAAAAGCUCGUAGUUGAAUUUCGGGAUCAAUAUGUCAGUCGUGCCUCGGUACGUACUGGCGUAAUUGGUUUCUCCCUUCUGAAGAACCUCGAUGUCAUUAAUUUGGUGUCGUGGGGAAUCAGGACUGUUACUUUGAAAAAAUUAGAGUGUUUAAAGCAGGCUCGCGCUUGAAUACAUUAGCAUGGAAUAAUGAAAUAGGACGUUUGAUUCUAUUUUGUUGGUUUCUAGGAUCGACGUAAUGAUUAAUAGUGAUAGUUGGGUGCAUUAGUAUUCAAUUGUCAGAGGUGAAAUUCUUGGAUUUAUUGAAGACUAACUACUGCGAAAGCAUUUGCCAAGGAUGUUUUCAUUAAUCAAGAACGAAAGUUAGGGGAUCGAAGACGAUCAGAUACCGUCGUAGUCUUAACCAUAAACUAUGCCGACUAGGGAUCGGAUGAUGUUGAUUUUUUAAUGACUCAUUCGGCGCCUUACG
rnacentral:rRNA from 1 species